rnacentral:rRNA from 1 species
CGUGUAGGCGGGAAGGAAAGUCAGAUGUGAAAUCCCCAGGCUCAACCUGGGAACUGCAUUUGAAACUCCCUUUCUUGAGUACCGGAGAGGAAAGUGGAAUUCCUGGUGUAGAGGCGAAAUUCGUAGAUAUCAGGAGGAACACCAGUGGCGAAGGCGGCUUUCUGGACGGUAACUGACGCUGAGACGCGAAAACGUGGGGAGCAAACA